rnacentral:rRNA from 1 species
AUUGAACGCUGGCGGCAGGCUUAACACAUGCAAGUCGAGCGGAGAGAGGUAGCUUGCUACUGAUCUUAGCGGCGGACGGGUGAGUAAUGCUUAGGAAUCUGCCUAUUAGUGGGGGACAACAUUUCGAAAGGAAUGCUAAUACCGCAUACGUCCUACGGGAGAAAGCAGGGGAUCUUCGGACCUUGCGCUAAUAGAUGAGCCUAAGUCGGAUUAGCUAGUUGGUGGGGUAAAGGCCUACCAAGGCGACGAUCUGUAGCGGGUCUGGGAGGAUGAUCCGCCGAACUGGGACUGGGACACGGCCCAGACUCCUACGGGAGGCAGCAGUGGGGAAUAUUGGACAAUGGGCGCAAGCCUGAUCCAGCCAUGCCGCGUGUGUGAAGAAGGCCUUAUGGUUGUAAAGCACUUUAAGCGAGGAGGAGGCUACUUUAGUUAAUACCUAGAGAUAGUGGACGUUACUCGCAGAAUAAGCACCGGCUAACUCUGUGCCAGCCGCCGCCGUAACAC